AAUUUCAAGAAAUAUGAAACACGGGAUACUUACGAAAAAAGUCACCAUAAUCGAUAUUGUGUAUGAAUGGAAAUCUGCAUAGAGCAAGCUCUGAGCUUUGGGAUGGCAGAUUUCAACCUGCAUUGAAACUAUUUCACUUCCAUUGCACAGCUGUCUCCCUUGAUAAAGCCAUUUCUGGAAGUUUUCUACUUAGACUAAAUGUAUUUAAUAUUGCGUGCUUUUUAGCAUCACAAACCAAGGUUUUAGUUGACUUUGAACCAAUUCUGUCGUUUGGCCUGUUAGAAAUUGCAGCUUAUUCUCCAACAAAUCACACCCAACGAUCUUUGAAAAGACUGAUAUUUGUAAUAAUUAGAUAAACUAUGUCUAAAAACCAAAAAGAAUGGGAUCGUCAUGGGUCUAAUGCUUUUUCAUCAGAGCUGAUAUGGGGUUAGAAUAAUAUACAAAAUUAUUAGCAAAUGAAGGGGGGGCCUCUCUGCGGUCGUUUAAUCUGCUAAAUAUUGCAGCUAAAUUUUGUAAUCAUAAUCUUAGUAACGAAGUUCACAUACGGUUGUAUUAAUUUGCAGGGGGAUGGUCACAGCUGGAAUGCUUUGGAUCAUAUAUUUGCUUUAUUGGGGCUGACCAACAUGCAAAAUUUAAAGUGGACAUCUGCUAGGUAUAUCAGCCAAAACUCUUUCAGUUCACUUCCUUCGAAAGAAAGGGGCGUAUUUUUCGGACAAUGUAUCUUAAAUUUUAGAUACAUUAUCUGAAAAAAGUGGGAUAGGCAUGAUUGGAAUGUCUUAGUUAGGACUGACUAAGGGUAUUCGUUUGAUAUCUAAACUUAAUACCUAAAAAAAAAAAAAAAUCUAACCCUUUUUUCUCCCCAAACACUGCAGUAACCACAUUUAACUCAUUUGAUACCAACCCAUCUAAGACCCCUCCUGAUUCUAUAAUACAUACUCCCUGUUUUAAAAUUAACUAAAAGCCUUCCGUCAACAUUUCAUGUUAAUUGAUGCUCCAAACACCAUCAUACUAACGCCAAAAUUAUUUCAUCAAGUUCUUCAUUAUUUUUCAAAAUUAACCAAAACGAAGUCUGUGUAUUUCAAUUGUAUGAAGAAAUCAUAUUAUAGAAGUGUAAAAUACUUUUGCCAAAUAUGCUUAUCUCUAAGUGUUAUUAGUUUCAAAUAAUAACAACUCAACGUUUUGGUCUUUCUUUAACUCUUCUACAUUGGUCAAAUAGCUCUAUUUUUUCUCAUUAAAAACAAACAAAUAUUGCUUUUUCAUGAAAAUACAAUUACUUAGUAAUAAUCGUUGUGAUUGAGGUUUUCUAUUCAUUUUCAGUUCAUUGUAAUUACACAUUUUUCUUUUCCUUUUCUUUGUACUCUUCCCUAAACUAUUUACGAAGAAGGACUUAAAAUUUUAUGUAUAUAUUUAACUGAAGAAGACCAUUGAAAAAGAAAAAGGGCUCCAGUGUAUCAGAAUUUAGAAUAAAACCUUUAUGUAUACCAAUGUAAAAAAAUAAUAAUAAAUAAAAAAGAAAUCAACCCCUUUAUCCAAUGAUUGUGUAAAGUGGUUCUGAAACCAAGAUUACGUUUAGUUUCUCCUUACGAGAAACUGGUGGUAUAUCCUUUUGUCUGAAAACCUUUUGUACAAAAGUCGAACGCAUUGUGUGUAAGUGUGUGUAAUUGCAGUCGUUUAGAAUAUAAUGCUAAAGCAUUGCUCCAGUAUGACUUUAACCAUGCUGACUGCAUCAAGAUUUAAAGAAUGUAUUUAACAAACACCAAUGUUAGCUUAUAAAUGAAGGGAAAAAAGCUUACACCUCAAUACGUAGUGUAAAAUUUAUUCGUAUAUUUAUUUAAGUUUUGAUCACAACUCAACUUUCAUGCUCUAAGCAUAUAUAAAUUUAAAUACACAGCCGAAAGUUCUAAUAGUUUCAUGCUAUUAUGAUACUAAAACACGCCAUGUCCAGCAUAAACAGCGCCCGAAAGAUUGCUUUUAAAGUAAUCUUUCGGGGGCUGUUUAUGCUGGACAGCAAGAAAAUGAGAUAAAAAACAUGGACAGGUUUUUUUAUCGAAUUGGAGACAACCACCCGCUCUGGAUUGAGUUGCUGUCUCACAAAUUUUGAUAUUUUCUGUUAUUUUGUUCUAAACCAGUUGUAUUUGAUGAGCUUUCUGUAAUCAGUAAGGAUGAGGAGCUUAGUUUCCUUGAUUUCGUUAGAGCCUGAAGAUACAUGCCGUAAUUUAUGAAUAUACCCGUUCAAGUACCAUAAUAGCAUGAAACUAUUAAUAACUCUUUCGAUUUAUCUCUUGCUUGAUGGACUUCUUUUAUUAUUCUACCUCUAUUCGAUCUUUAAACUAUAUAUAUACACACACAUUCUCCUCGAUUUUCGGACGUUGGGCAGCUGCGCGUACAUUAACUAUGACAGCAUCUGGUAACGUAGGUCUCCAUCAGACCCAGGCAUCCACUACCUGCCUUUCUGUCUCUCAGUUGCUUUUGAAUGAAAAGUGUUGAAAAAUAUAAAUCUGACAUCCGACCAGAUCGACUUACGACCUGUCAGUCGGUCGUAAGUCGAGGAGAAGGUGUAUAUAUGAUUUUGUAUUAAGUAUUAUCUUCCUGUUGUGUUUACUGAAUAAUGUGUGUGCAUAUUCUCGUAUAUUGGCAACUUAGUACUAGAACGAAAAGAGGCCGCAUUGCGAUCUAGAGUUUGUGUGUGUGUGUAGAUAUUUGUCUUACGUAUAUAGUUAAGUUGACCACUUAGAUUUUCAUUACAACAAAACAAUCUUCAGAUGACAUCCAUUAAAGGCAUUUCAAAUGUUACUGUAAUACUUAAAAUAACUUUUUUUUUUACUGAAGCGCUUUCUGCGAAGAGCUACUUUACUAUAUACUACAACAUGGUCAUAACCGUGGUGACUAAAAAAAAGAAAACGAGCUGUAGAAUCUAUUUACAUAUAUGCACGCGUAUACUAGUCAUUGAAACAGUGUCUAUUACAGCUUCGUGCAUAUGUGUGUCUGUGGAGAGAGAGAGAGAGAGAGUGAGUGAGAAAGAAUGUGUCCCUGUAUCCCCACUCUUCUUGACGCUGAAUAGACCCAACUGGAUUUUUAGCUUGUAGAAUAACCUACAUUCUAUACACCUCUUAGCAUCUGAUGCGAUUCCAUUUGAUAGGGACCUAACCGUUUUAAACGCAUCGUAUGAAUGUUGAACGCCUUCUAUGCUACAUUUGAAUGUUUUCAGUCCUUCAUCGUGCAUAUGGUAUCUUUCAGUCCCUUUAAAAUAUCCCUAUAGUGCGUAUAUAUAUAUAUAUAUAUGCACACGCACACAAUAUACAUAUAUAUAUAUUAAGUAUCUAUGUACAUAUAUAAUUUGUAUACAUUGUGGUUGUGUACACGUAAUCACACACACACACACACACAUGCAUUAUAUAAAUAUACUUUUUAAAUUAACAAGGCAACCAAUGGUUUCAUGCUGACAAGACUUCUACAGUUAUCCAUUUGAGGAUGUUGGUGCUCUUCUUCAAGUGGAUCACUUGAGUAACUGAGAUCUUGACAUGAAACCCCGGGAUUCUUUGUUAAUCGCCAAGUAAUAUUUACUUA
rnacentral:lncRNA from 1 species